rnacentral:rRNA from 1 species
GACGAACGCUGGCGGCGUGCUUAACACAUGCAAGUCGAACGGAAAGGCCCUGCUUUUGUGGGGUGCUCGAGUGGCGAACGGGUGAGUACCACGUGAGUAACCAGCCCUUGACAUUGGGAUAACUUCAGGAGACUGGGGCUAAUACCGGGUAGGAGCUCCUGCUGCAUGGUGUGGGUUGGCAAGUUUCGGCGGUUGGGGAUGGACUGGCCGCUUAUCAGCUUGGUGGUGGGGUAGUGGCUUACCAAGGCAUUGACGGGUAGCCGGGCUGUGAGGAUGACCGGCCACAUUAGGACUGAGAUACGGCCCAGACUCCUACGGGAGGCAGCAGUGGGGAAGAUUGUACAAUGGGCGGAAGCCUGAUGCAGCAAAGCCGCGUGCGGGAUGACGGCCUUCGGGUUGUAAACCGCUUUCGCCUGUGACGAAGAGUGAGUGACGGUAAUGGGUAAAGAAGCACCGGCUAACUACGUG